AUCCUCUAAAACGUCUUGUAAAUUAUUGGUUUGUACUAAAAUUAUUCCUUUGCACAUUCAAAAGCUCCCUUCCGAUUCCAAAUUCCUAAAUUUCUUCGGAAUUUCAAAUUUCAGUCACUUCAAAUAAAGCUAUCCAAUUGGGUAUUUGAAGAUUCAAGCCUUUCAAAUUCGCCUCUUUGUUAUUGGAAUCCGUCCUUAAAAAAAAAAAAAUGCGUCACUCAAAUCCCUCUGUCUCGUCUCCGACGUCUGAUUCUGUCGACACCUCACCUCUCCUCACCCACUCGAUUGCCGACCACCUCCUCCGAAGCCGACGUCUCCUGCGCCACCCGCCGCAGCCCCUCCGUGGUGCAGCUGCUCGGCUCCUCCGGCGAGCCAGCAGCCGUCGCAUGAUGCUUCGGGAGCCCUCUGUCCGGGUGCGCGAAAAUGCGGCGGAGCAGCUCGAGGGGCGCCAGAGCGAUUGGGCUUACUCCAAGCCUAUUAUUGUGCUAGAUGUGUUGUGGAAUUUGGCCUUCGUGGUGAUUGCUGCUGUGGUGUUGGGGUUGAGCGUCAAAGAGGAGCCUGAGGUGCCGUUGAGGCUGUGGAUAAUUGGGUACGGUUUGCAGUGUGUGUUUCAUAUUGCCUGUGUAAUCUUCGAGUACAGAAGGCGUAGUGGAAGGAAUGUGGGAUUGGGAGUCAAUGGGGCUUGGGCAAGUGGGGAUUCCACUUCGGGAUCGGGGAGUGAUGGAGGAAAUUCUGUGUACUAUGGGGCUGAAGAGCAGGCCAAUGAUGAUGAAACUAGUGUUGUAAAGCCCCUGGAGUCUGCAAAUACAAUGUUUUCAUUUGUCUGGUGGAUUGUCGGAUUUUACUGGGUUACUGCUGGUGGCCAAAAUGUGACACAUGAUUCACCUCAGCUAUACUGGCUUUGUAUCACAUUUCUUGCUUUCGAUGUGAUCUUUGUAAUUAUCUGUGUUGCUGUUGCAUCUCUCAUUGGUAUUGCUAUUUGCUUCUGCCUUCCAUGUAUAAUUGGAAUCUUAUAUGCCAUGACAGAUAGGGUAAUUCACUUUUCUCAGGUCUUCCUUGUAGUUCAUGGCAGUGGUUCUUUUUUUUUUUUCAUGUGCACAACACGAUGUGCAUGCAUGAGCAGGUGUGAAAUUGAGCUUAUAUUAUAACUGUUCUUUAGGCAUAAGCCAAUUCAAGUGACAACACAGUAAACAGUAAAUUAAAAGAGAGUGGGUGAAUCUCUCAGCUGAUGGCACAUUAUGAUAGAAAUUUUGUUUAUUAACUGUUGUUUCUUUUUCUUUGCUCUUGAACUGUUGAAACAUUUAAUUGAGAAUUUUUUUCAUAUUUAAUUUUCUUGGAUGAGUUUUAAGAUCAAAUUACAGGAGACCUCAUGGCCAGAAACACAUUGAGGGAAUAUUGCUGUUAUCUUGAACCUAUGGAACUAUUUGCCUGGUUUAAUUGUGGUCUUCUGGAUAUAUCGUUUGUAAAUAUGGCUUUCACCUGUUAUUUAGAAGCUCAAGAGCUAGAUAUUGGAAAGCCUUGGCAUUAUCAUAUGUCAUUUACUUAAUGCAUGAUGACAAUGCUUCAGUGGUUUAUUUUUAGUGCUUUAGUGCUGUUAUUAAAAUUUUUUGCUUCAUGCUCUUUUUAUUGUGUGCCUGAUUUCAUCUCCCCCUUAACGGAAAAACAGGAAGGAGCAACAAAAGAAGAGAUUGAUCAAUUGCCUAAGUACAAGUUCCACAGGAAGGGAAAUUUUGAGAACGUUAAUGGUGAGAUUCAAGCAUCUUUUGGAGGUACGAUGAUUGAAUGUGAAAUUGAUAUGCCCACUGAACCUCUUCUCUCCCAUGAAGAUGCUGUAAGUACUCCAGAAGCAGAAAGUUUUGUCUCAUCACUUCUAAAAACGUGUAAUUUUUAAAUUGCAACUGCUUUGUGAUUGGACCAUGGAGUGGGGUUGGUGUCUGUUAGGCCUAUAAUGAAAAAAAAAAAAUGGUUCGUAAUUAGUAGCUAAUUGCUGUAGAGGGUAUCCAUGUCUUAGACAACAGCUCAGCAGCACAAAUUCCUCAACUGGAGAUGGGGCUUCUUUUCUUUUCAAUGUUUUUAUCUCUGUUAGCAAAAGUGUGUUGUUAUGGGAUCAAUUUUCAACCCCUUAUUUUUUUACAUUUCUAAAUGCUAUGCUAAUCAUAUGGCUAAAUCUAUUAUUUAACAAUAGGAUGGAUGGAGCGGACCCUGAAAUUAUAUCUUGUUUUGUGUUGGAGUGUUGGAGCUCCUAUAUUUGUUCUUUAUCAUCGACUCAUUUCUAAUGUUUUUAUUAUUGCCGCAUUGCAGGAGUGCUGCAUUUGCCUUUCUGCAUAUGAAGAUGGAACUGAGCUACGUAAACUUCCUUGUCAUCACCAUUUCCACAGCACAUGCAUAGAUAAGUGGCUUUACAUAAACGCAAUCUGCCCUCUUUGCAAGUUCAACAUUCUAAAGGCAAGCAAUCAAAUUGGUAGUGAAGAAGUGUAGAAACAAGGUUUUCUACAAGAAUUCGGGAUAGAGCUUCUUCCCUAUCUGUGUUAUCAUGCGCACGUGACCAUCUUGGAUGGCAGUGGAGACGUUUUGGCUGGAGACAGCAUCUAGCUGGUGCCAUUGACAAGAGAAAUCAUCUCAAUGUGUAACUAUCUGUAACUUUUCUUGGUCAGUGUGCCUAAUGUAUAUGAUAUUUUACUGUUACUCAAAACAGAUUGAAUUAGUUGUUAGUAACGGGUUUCCUUUGCAAAUUAGCCCAGACUUACUAAAUGAGAGCUCAGCGGCACCUGAUCAAAUGAACGCAUGAGCUAGGGGUGAGUAUUUGGUUCAAAUCGAACCAAAUCGAAUCG
rnacentral:misc_RNA from 1 species